rnacentral:rRNA from 1 species
GGAGGAGGCGAGCGUUGUUCGGGAAUCACUGGGGCCUAAAGCGCGUGUAGGCGGGAUGGUAGGGUGCCUCGUGAAAGCCCUCGGGCUCAACCGAGGAAUUGCAGGGCAAACCCUCAUCCUUGAGGCAGGUAGAGGCAAGUGGAACUAUGGGUGGAGCGGUGAAAUGCGUUGAUAUCCAUGGGAACGCCGGUGGCGAAAGCGGCUUGCUGGGCCUGUUCUGACGCUGAGACGCGAAAGCGUGGGUAGCAAACAGGAUUAGAUACCCUGGUAGUCCACGCCGUAAACGAUGCGCACUAGGUACGAGGACUCUGACGGUUCUCGUGCCGAAGGAAAACUGCUAAGUGCGCCGCCUGGGGAGUACGGCCGCAAGGCUA